rnacentral:rRNA from 1 species
UACGUAGGGUGCAAGCGUUAUCCGGAAUUAUUGGGCGCAAAGAGCUCGUAGGCGGUUUGUCACGUCUGCUGUGAAAACUGGAGGCUCAACCUCCAGCCUGCAGUGGGUACGGGCAGACUAGAGUGCGGUAGGGGAGAUUGGAAUUCCUGGUGUAGCGGUGGAAUGCGCAGAUAUCAGGAGGAACACCGAUGGCGAAGGCAGAUCUCUGGGCCGUAACUGACGCUGAGGAGCGAAAGCAUGGGGAGCGAACAGG